rnacentral:rRNA from 1 species
AACGAACGCUGGCGGCAGGCCUAACACAUGCAAGUCGAGCGCCCCGCAAGGGGAGCGGCGGACGGGUGAGUAACGCGUGGGAACGUACCCUUUGCUACGGAAUAGCCUCGGGAAACUGGGAGUAAUACCGUAUGUGCCCUUUCGGGGGAAAGAUUUAUCGGCAAAGGAUCGGCCCGCGUUGGAUUAGGUAGUUGGUGGGGUAAUGGCCUACCAAGCCGACGAUCCAUAGCUGGUUUGAGAGGAUCGAUCAGCCACACUGGGACUGAGACACGGCCCAGACUCCUACGGGAGGCAGCAGUGGGGAAUCUUAGACAAUGGCGCAAGCCUGAUCUAGCCAUGCCGCGUGAGCGAUGAAGGCCUUAGGGUUGUAAAGCUCUUUCAGUGGGGAAGAUAAUGACUGUACCCACAGAAGAAGCCCCGGCUAACUCCGUG